UACGUAGGGGGCAAGCGUUGUCCGGAUUUAUUGGGCGUAAAGAGCGUGUAGGCGGCUUUGCAAGUCCGUUGUGAAAACUCGAGGCUCAACCUCGAGACGCCGGUGGAAACUGCAAAGCUAGAGUCCGGAAGAGGAGAGUGGAAUUCCUGGUGUAGCGGUGAAAUGCGCAGAUAUCAGGAAGAACACCCGUGGCGAAGGCGGCUCUCUGGGACGGUACUGACGCUGAGACGUGAAAGCGUGGGGAGCGAACAGG
rnacentral:rRNA from 1 species